UGGCUCAGGAUGAACGCUAGCGGCAGGCUUAACACAUGCAAGUCGAGGGGUAUGCCGAUUUAUCGGCAGAGACCGGCGCACGGGUGCGUAACGCGUAUGCAAUCUACCUUUUACAGAGGGAUAGCCCAGAGAAAUUUGGAUUAAUACCUCAUAGUAUAACACAAUCGCAUGGUUGAGUUAUUAAAGUCACAACGGUAAAAGAUGAGCAUGCGUCCCAUUAGCUAGUUGGUAAGGUAACGGCUUACCAAGGCGACGAUGGGUAGGGGUCCUGAGAGGGAGAUCCCCCACACUGGUACUGAGACACGGACCAGACUCCUACGGGAGGCAGCAGUGAGGAAUAUUGGACAAUGGGCGCAAGCCUGAUCCAGCCAUGCCGCGUGCAGGAUGACGGUCCUAUGGAUUGUAAACUGCUUUUGCACAGGAAGAAACAUCCCGACGUGUCGGGACUUGACGGUACUGUGAGAAUAAGGAUCGGCUAACUCCGUGCCAGCAGCCGCGGUAAUACGGAGGAUCCAAGCGUUAUCCGGGAAUCAUUGGGUUUAAAGGGUCCGUAGGCGGUCUUAUAAGUCAGUGGUGAAAUCUCCCCGCUCAACGGGGAAACGGCCAUUGAUACUGUAGGACUUGAAUUAUUAGGAAGUAACUAGAAUAUGUAGUGUAGCGGUGAAAUGCUUAGAGAUUACAUGGAAUACCAAUUGCGAAGGCAGGUUACUACUAAUGGAUUGACGCUGAUGGACGAAAGCGUGGGUAGCGAACAGGAUUAGAUACCCUGGUAGUCCACGCCGUAAACGAUGGAUACUAGCUGUUGGGAGCAAUUUCAGUGGCUAAGCGAAAGUGAUAAGUAUCCCACCUGGGGAGUACGUUCGCAAGAAUGAAACUCAAAGGAAUUGACGGGGGCCCGCACAAGCGGUGGAGCAUGUGGUUUAAUUCGAUGAUACGCGAGGAACCUUACCAAGGCUUAAAUGUAGAUUGACCGGACUGGAAACAGUUUUUUCGCAAGACAAUUUACAAGGUGCUGCAUGGUUGUCGUCAGCUCGUGCCGUGAGGUGUCAGGUUAAGUCCUAUAACGAGCGCAACCCCUGUUGUUAGUUGCCAGCGAGUCAUGUCGGGAACUCUAACGAGACUGCCAGUGCAAACUGAGAGGAAGGUGGGGAUGACGUCAAAUCAUCACGGCCCUUACGCCUUGGGCUACACACGUGCUACAAUGGCCGGUACAGAGAGCAGCCACUGGGUGACCAGGAGCGAAUCUACAAAACCGGUCACAGUUCGGAUCGGAGUCUGCAACUCGCAUCCGUGAAGCUGGAAUCGCUAGUAAUCGGAUAUCAGCCAUGAUCCGGUGAAUACGUUCCCGGGCCUUGUACACACCGCCCGUCAAGCCAUGGAAGCUGGGGGUGCCUGAAGUCGGUGACCCGCAAGGAGCUGCCUAGGGUAAAACUGGUAACUAGGGCUAAGUCGUAACAGGUAGCCGUACCGGAAGGUGCGCUGGAUCACCUCCUU
rnacentral:rRNA from 1 species